rnacentral:misc_RNA from 1 species
GAUGAAGGGGUCGCCAUUGAUGGGUUGAACAACUUGGAAGGUGGUUGGCUUCUCUGCACUGACAGCUACGACUGUGAGGGAAGUUCUCCUCUUGGAGUGAAGGUCUCUGAGGGGUGUUCCCGAAAUGCCCCUGGGAGUGGCAAGGAGGGUCUUUGUGGUGGAGCUGAGCAGGCUGCUCCUCAGCUGGCUGGCUAUCGGAGCUGCUGAGGCUGUGGCCAUUGGGUACCAGUGGUUUCUGAGGAUGGCAGGAUGUGA